GGUUAAGUGAUUAAGCGUAGACGGUGGAUGCCUUGGCAGUCAGAGGCGAUGAAGGACGUACUAACCUGCGAAAAGCGAUGGUGAGCUGGUAAGAAGCAUUUGAGCCAUCGAUGUCCGAAUGGGGAAACCCACCUGCAUAAGCAGGUAUCUUAGCGUGAAUACAUAGCGUUAAGAGGCGAACUCGGGGAACUGAAACAUCUAAGUACCCGAAGGAAAAGAAAUCAAUUGAGAUUCCGGCAGUAGCGGCGAGCGACCCCGGAGCAGCCCUUAAGCGGCUUAGGCGUUAGGUGAACAGGUUGGAAAACCUGGCAAUAAAGGGUGAUAGCCCCGUAACCGACGGCGCCUUAGACGUGAAAACGAGUAGGACGGGACACGUGAUAUCUUGUCUGAACAUGGGGGGACCAUCCUCCAAGGCUAAAUACUCCUGACUGACCGAUAGUGAACCAGUACCGUGAGGGAAAGGCGAAAAGAACCCCUGUGAGGGGAGUGAAAUAGAACCUGAAACCGUCUACGUACAAGCAGUGGGAGCCUCCUUUGUGGGGUGACCGCGUACCUUUUGUAUAAUGGGUCAGCGACUUAAUGUUAGUAGCAAGGUUAACCGCAUAGGGGAGCCGUAGGGAAACCGAGUCUUAACUGGGCGAGUAGUUGCUAGCAUUAGACCCGAAACCGAGUGAUCUAGCCAUGGGCAGGUUGAAGGUUGAGUAACAUCA
rnacentral:ncRNA from 1 species